rnacentral:lncRNA from 1 species
AAAGGGUUUCUUCUUCAUUAUCAUCUUCAUCUUUCUUCUUUUCACAGGGAGUUAUGUGUCAGUAACAUCGCACAAGUUAUGUGCAGCACAGGCCUUCAGGUACGACCUGACGCCUUCAGGCAAUUCAUGAAGUUAAAAGUGCUUGCUUCUUCUGCCAAUACUGCUCGAAUCUCUGCCUUGCAUACUCCUUGUAGUCGAAGUCAAUAUCAUUGACAUGAUCCUGCAGAAGAUAGAGGUCAGAUAAUAGCACAGGUUUACAGUGACAGAAUGGAUUCAUAUAGUUCUUUUGAAAAAAGAAACAGGCAAUGGACAUCCAGAAAUAUGAACAUACCGAU